UUUCAUCCUACAGCCACUCAACGACUCAACAAAGUACGGGUUCACUCAUAUAUUCCUCCUAUUUCCAGUCAUACCAUUUUCUAUUUUGUUUACUCCCUUACCCCAGAUCUGUGAAUCUGAUCUAGUCGGUUAUGGGGAUUCACUAUAUUUUGUUUUCUUUACUUCCUCUAGAUUCUGAUUUAUUCAUUCUGACACCCUCUUCAAACUCAACCACCAGAGCUACAAUUCUCACCACCCUUGCCUCUCUCAUUUAACUCUAUGUUAUUCCCUGAUCCUCAAUGAGGACAAUUAUCUAACUCCCUAUAAUCUUAAUUUUCUGCAGUUAUUGCCCAUUCAGAUCUUUUUUUUCUUUUUCUCUCUUUUUUUUUUUGUUUUCCUCCUCUUUUACUUGUCUCUCUCACUCCGCCGAUUCUUACACGCUACUCUUCCGAAGUCUUCGUACCAGUGUAUCAUAUUCGUCUCACCGAGCCCCAAUUCAUUCCAAACUAUGCCAUCCAACACUUUUUAUUUUCACAAAU
rnacentral:lncRNA from 1 species